CCAAUACGUAAUCUCCGUACAUUCAUAGCGGCCUGCGCCUCACCUUAUGAGGGAGCGACAUCUUAGGUGGGUUGCUACGGGCGACCAAGGACGAAACCUCAGAGGCCGGGGAGGGGAAGGAACCUGUGCGAAUGGCAGCUGCCAAACUUUAAAUUCUCACUUCGCCAGUAUUGAACUCAAAUCUGAAAGGAGCUUUUGGAUUUUAAAAAAGGAAUGAUGAAAAAUCUUUUCUCCAAAAAUAUUUAUACAAUUUAUGUAGCAAUCAGUUUGUGAAUUUCAGAUUUGUAAUUUACAGUUUAAAGGUAAAGGUACCCCUGCCCGUACGGGCCAGUCGUGUCCGACUCUAGGGUUGUGCGCUCAUCUCACUCUAGAGGCCAGGAGCCAGCGCUGUCCGCAGACACUUCCGGGUCACGUGGCCAGCGUGACGAAGCUGCUCCGGCGAACCGGCACCAGCGCAGCACACGGAACGCCGUUUACCUUCCCGCUAUAAAGCGGUACCUAUUUAUCUACUUGCACCCGGGGGUGCUUUCGAACUGCUAGGUGGGCAGGAGCUGGGACCGAACGACGGGAGCUCACCCCGCCGCGGGGAUUCGAACCGCCGACCAUGCGAUCGGCAAGUCCUAGGCGCUGAGGUUUUACCCACAGCGCCACCCGCGUCCCUAAUUUACAGUUUAGAGAAGGAUAAAAUAGAGGGAUUUGGGAAACGCAUUUGACAAUGUACACGGUUUCCUCGUACCCAAUAAAACUUUAAAUUCACCCAAUAAUUUAAACUUGCAGGUAUUCCAAACACAACAUGGUAUGAAACUGAAAAUGACAUCAAGUAACAGAAAGGCUUUAGAGCCAAAAUAUGAGAAUUUGUGUAAGUAUACUGCACUGUUUCAAAACGCCUAUUUUCAAAAUGUCACAAUUUUGGAUUUUACUUACCAGAACCUGGAAGUUUCAAAAGCCAAAUAGUUAAAUCAGAAACUUAGGGUUUUGAGUUAUGUCACAAUUAUUUACCUAUCUUUCAUUAAAACAAUACUCAAAAACACAAAUUUGUUUAUUGAUCAUGAACAGCCUCUCAAACACCUUGGAAUCUCAAAACAGGAUCACACGAUGCUUACAUGUUGCUUUAAAACUAUUAUAAUCUGCGCCCUCCCCCCUCUGCACAAGCAAAUUCUUCUGUUAAAAUGUUGUUGUUCACCCAACCAAGGAUGAAAUUACCACUAAAGACACAUUUUAAACUGCAAUCCUAUACGUAGCGAUUCUGAAGUCUCAUUAAGUUCAGCUGGGCUUACUCCUAGGUGAGUAUAGGAUUGCACCCAAGCAAAACAGUCCUCUACUCACACCAUGCUACAGAUAUGCCAGUGGAAGGCAUAUCCUAUGCCAUAGGUAGGCAAACUAAGGCCCGGGGGCCGGAUCUGGCCCAAUUGCCUUCUAAAUCCGGCCCACAGACGGUCCAGGAAUCAGCAUGCUUUUACAUGAGUAGAAUGUGUCCUAAAAUGCAUCUCUGGGUUAUUUGUGGGGCAUGGGAAUUCGUUCAUUCCCCCCAAAAAAUAUAGUCCGGCUCCCCACAAGGUCUGAGGGACAGUGGACUGGCCCCCUGCUGAAAAAGUUUGCUGACUCCUGUAUGCUCUUAUCAUUCUGAGGUGGGUGGGGAAGGAGGUGAGAGGGCUGCUAUUAUUUUUAUGUAAUUACUUGCACCAAUCUCAGACCUGGCAUAAUGUUCCACUGUCAAAUGGGCAUGUCUUGGAAAUGAAGAGGUGUAACUCAUCAAUCUUUAUUACGGUCCAGAGACCCAAGAAAUCAUUACAAAGCAAUACACAAUUCAUACAGCCUACCUCCAGGUUAAACAAGCAUUUUGUUUAGAAUAUAGGGAUCAUAUGUUCUUGCAACCACCGAUAAGAGGUGUAACUAUGCCCUGCUCAGGGCACACCCAUGAUUCCAUCCCAUUCUGCUUUCCCCACCGCACCUGUCCUAUUUACCAGUGUCACUUUGCCAGCACAGUAUCUCUGCCAACAUACCAGCAGAGUUCCAUCGGCUUAAGUGUCAUGCUGGAGGUGUAAUUCCAUCUGGACUGGCAAAGCAGCGCUAACAGCACUUAGCCACUUCCUAAGACCAUUCAGCCAGCAUAACUCAAAUAUAGUGCCCUUGUUUUCUUAUUUAGCUAGAUGGCAAAUAUGUCACAACAGUUUAGAAACACUAUAGUCAAUCUGAAUAGCAGCAAUUGAUAUACAAUACAGAUAGAGUGUAUUUUACUUGUCGAGCUAGUCCCAAAGCAGUCCAAAAUACCUGUCAAGAAUUUUAUUGAGGGGUACGAUAUGCAUCGCUCAAAUAAGGAAAAUAAAAGUUUAAGAUUACGUAUGUUAUCUCACCUUUCAUCAUUCUAUAUAUUAGUUGGCAUCACUGCCCACGUAUGAAUACUGAAGGUCAGAUGAGCUGGGGUGAGGGGUUACGCAGUUUGGGAAAGAUAACCUACUUUUGGGAAAAAAAUGUGAGGGAGAGCUCUUGCCUUGCACAACUCAAAACCUGUGCAUAUGGGCCAUAUGUGAUAGUAUAUGUUCAAGGUUUUUGGGAAGUGAUAUUUACAAAAUCCCAGACAUUAAAGGGCAAUCAAUCCCAUCUGACCUGGCCCUGGCCCUACUGGCAAUAGUGCAGCCAGAUGACACCAAUAUAAGGUCACCAAGACCUAAUAAUUCUUUUGCUCACAGCUGUUCAUUUGGAGUUAGCUAGUCACUGGAAAAUUUGUAAAGCAGGUGGUUGAGAAGAAUUGGAAAUCUGGGGAAGGAGGAAGUAUAAUGGAAUGGCAUACCAAUAGGUUGUGCAAUGAAAGUAGCUAGCAAAACAAGCACAAGCAUUAAGACAUGACUUUGCAAGCGAUUGGUUUUUGUAAUGGCUUUUGCAUUGUGUUAAUUUGUGGGUGAACAUAUCAGACAAAACAGCAAUUCUUCAAACAGCUCUUGUUUAUUCACAGGCCAGAACAGAACUGAACUGAAGGGUUCAGCCAGCCUGCUUAUAUAGAGCUCCACUACAACGCAACAGUAACCACUUUCUGUAACUAUCCAAUCACUGAACGUCACUUUCAAUCCCUUAUUUGCAUAUGUGGACCUGAGUGAAAACUAUCUACAGUAUCCCCCUGCUGGCCCAGGGUGAGAACUUCAGUACAUAACACAUUGGGCAUAAAAUCCUAUAAAAGUAUCACUUGUUCUGGACACCCCUGAUGGAGAAACCUAUUAGGAUAAGAUGGCUAUGAACUAUUGGAUGAGGGAUAUUGCCAAUUACUCUCUAUUUUUAGGUAUAUUAUCUUUCUAUUAUUCUAUUUUUGUAGUUGAAACAAUACAAACAUAUCCUUACAAAAACUGGUAAAGGGCUGACUGGAUAAUGUUUGGGAAAUGGCAUUACUUGAAUGUUUAACAUAAAUUGGGAGCUGAUUAAGUAUGGUAAAAAUGACCACUUAGAGGCUGUUUGGAUAUCAUUCUUAACUUCUCAAAACUGGAAUAGAGAGCAAGUGCAGGCCAGAUUGUCCCAGAUUAAUUUGUGGAGGAGCUAUGCAUUUGGGUGUGGCCUGAAUAUUCCCUGUAGUUUAUUACAAUAGACACAUGAAGACAUGCAAUGAUGAGUGAAUAAUUCUUUUGUUGUUGUUGUUCAGAUAUUUGACAAUAUGUACUCGACUGAUUCUGUGUUACAGUCUGAAAAAUCUUUAAUAAAAUUAUUGUUUUCAGAAACCUGGGGCUUUAACUUGGAUGAAGGCAGGAUGAAAAAUAAAAUAAAAUAAGUAAAUAAAAGUUUGCUCAAUGUAAUCUCCUCCCAAAUAAGAGUGCAAGAGACUGCAGCCCUAACAGUCAUGGGCAAGUAUGCAAUUUUUGUUGAUUUAUGGAGUAUAAACUGCGCUAAGUUUAGCUUAUGAAAUGAGAGGAGCCUCUAACCUGUCUGGAAGUCAGACCCUCUUUUCUGGUAACAUGUUUUCCUAAUGCUAAAUGUGUAGGGAUUUGUAGUCAGGAUUCUGGCAUGCUCAGAGCAUAAUUCUUUGAGUUCUGCUGAGCCCCUCUCAAAUCAAGCCCUGAAUUUGACCAUUAAAGGAGAGGUGCCUUGUACAACGCUCCCUAAGGAUCUAUCCGAAUCAUAAAGCCAGAGAGAGAGAGAGUCGGACGGAAAGAUGUUCUAUUUCAGCUUGCUUGUCUACCAUGCAUGAAUGGCUUCACAGUUCUCUUGUGGAGGGUGGAGAUGCCAACUCUGGGGCGGAUUUUCAAGGCCUCACAGUACCAAGGUGUGUCAGCCAGAGCUAGGCCAGAGGAGAACGGGUACAAAGUUCACAAUCAUCUGAGCGAUGAUAAAUAGUAAUUAAGAUUACACCAUUCCGUGUUUCAAAAGGACAGAGAUGUUAGAUAAUGCUUGGCAGGCUGACAGGUCAGAGACAGUACAUGAGUAAUGAAGAGGCUCACGAAACAAAGCCAAGCAGGAACCAAUGAAAGCUGAUAUUAGUCACAUGAAAACAGGUGCACUGUGAGAAUGCAGCCUGGUCAACGCAUGUUGUAUAAUUAGAGUGCAGUGUACUACCUCAGGCUGCAAGGGUGCAGAAUUUUAAUGCACCCACCCCAAUAAAAUACCGCCUGCAAGUUAAAAAAAACCCCCAGUAACUGCAGGGAGAAAGGUUCUAGUCUAGCCUACUCCCUCCCAUGCUUCACCGUAGUGGAGUAGGAGCAAGUGUAGGAUUGCCAGCUCUCAAGCAGCUCAUAUUCUGGGAACUAAACAGGGUAGUUCUGGUAGACCAGAGGGCAAAGCCUUGCAGCACUUGAAACAUCCAGAGCAUGGUCCCCAGUGCAGGGUUACUGUCUUCUAUCUGAUGAGUUGUGAACAGGUAUAUUAGUGAACAUCCCCAUCUGAAGUCAACUCUCUUGCAGGGACUGAAGGAAUGGGGAGAAACUCAGAUGGGACAACUUGUUGAGAUACAGCUUGCCCCCUUUGCUUCUACCUCCUCACAGAUUUAAUAGCUUCCAUUGGAAACCUUGAGGAGCCAUCCUGAAUUAUUAUUUUCCCCACAUCAACAAUGUAGGGUUGAAUGCUUUACCCAGAGACUUGAGUUCAGAAUAUGACUUUAUUAAAAAGACAAGGUAUCUGAGAAACCAGAACCAUUAUUUCAAUGUACAAAUCCAAAUACCUGUACAAGGUUUUGCAUUUUAGUUUAAAUCCUAAAAAUAAAACAGAUAAUAAAAGCAACGGGUGGCGGGAGAUCAGGAGCAGCCAUUAAAACCAUGUAUUUAUGCUGAAUUAAAACAAAAUAUAAACCAGGACAUUUUUUUUUUACAUCUUGGCAAUGUGCUCACUAGCAGGGCUUUGGACAGUACCAUCAUGCACACCAAAUACAACUUUGCUGGAAUUUUUAAAUAGCUUAUUCAAAAAAACAACCUCCCCAAAGUCAACCCCUUGAAUGAAAGAAGAUCCGACUAGUUAUGAUGUUUUGCUGUUUAGAUUUAUUUCUUUAGAGGGAAAAUGCAGUGUCCCUAUUUAAAAAAAGAACUGAACUAAAAAUAAAUAAAUCACAAGUAUUACAAAACAGCUAGGUAGGUGUUCAGAGACAUUUCAAAAGCUGGCAAGACAGGUAGGGUAGGGAUAAGAGGAGAGAGAGAGAAAGAGAUUGAAAGAUGCAUCCCUAUUGACCAUAUACAACACAUUUAGAUAAUUAAAAAAUAUAAAAGGCAAGAGGCAGCAUUUCAGCAGCAAAAUGCUAAAAAGGUACGUCACAAAAGGGUAUGGGACGGCAAAGCCACAUCUCAGAGGAAAUACGGUGUGGUUGUUCUUGAGGGAAGCACACGUUCUGGGUCUGGAACUGCACAGAAGAGCUUUGGUUCCCUUGUAUUUGCACCUUCAAAUGCCAUGAUUGAGGCAAUAUUUCCACAGCGAUAGCUGUGACCAACUUCUCACCAAACUUAUAACCUUCAUGCCCCAGCUGGUGGGCUCAGCAGAUGCAGAUGAGCUUUAAGUUGUUGAUAUAGACAAACUCAUUUGUGACUUUUGCCUCAAACAGCCAGCCUGCUCCUCGGGGACUUAUGGCCCAGGUGUCCACAUCUUCUGGAUCAGACCAAACAAGGUCACAAAAAGCUCCUUUGUGUGGGAUCUCUUGGUUGUGCUCAGUGGUCUGAAUCUGGUCCAGUGUUUUUAUGCCUGGAGAUAGGCCCCCAUGUAUACAGAAGAUUUGCUCAUCUAGUAACACUUCCACCGUGAGCAUGUCAAAAACUUUGAUGUAAUAUCUCCAGGCAUUAGCGUUGCCAUAUUUGGUUUGGCAUUUGUCAUAAAACCCAUACACUUGAGUUACCUGUCUGCUCUCAUGAUUCCCACGUAAAAGUGUGAUGCAAUCAGGCCAUUUUGCUUUCAGGGCAAGAAGAUAGGCAAACGUCUCAAGGCUAUAAUAGCCUCUGUCUACAAAGUCACCCAUAAAUAUAUAUAGUUUGUGUCAGGAACCUGACCUCCAGUUCUGAACAAUUCACAUAAAUCAUAAAACUGUCCAUGUAUGUCACCACAGACUGUAACUGGUGUAGAAACUGUCUGCACAUUAGAUUCUUCUACAACAGAGAUGUCCAACAGGUCGAUCACGAUCUACUAGUCGAUCCCUGCGAGGUUUUGGUCGAUCGCUGGCCCCCUUCCCGCCCCCUCACCGUGCCCUCCAUUGUUGGAGAACGGAAGACAGAGUUUACAAACCGAGGCUGUAUUUACCCCAGUGAUCCUUCAGUGAGUUGCUGUUCCUCUCUGACCGCAAAACAAUGUAAAAAUGCCAGGUCACCCCCCUCAAAAAAGCUCAACAACUUUGACCUGAACCCCUAAAAAAAGGGGGUAGAUCACUGCCAGUUUUUAAUUCUGUGAGUAGAUCACAGUCUCUUGGAAUUUGGCCACCCCUGUUCUAGAAGAAGAUCACAGACGUAGUCACACAAGCGCUUGAGUGUUCCGGUUUGCGAACGUUUUACAGAAGCCGAACGCCCGACGUGACUUCCAUGGCUUCUGAUUGAGUGCAGGAAGCUCUUGCAGCCAAUCGGAAGCCACGCCUUGGUUUUUAAACCAUUUUGGGAGUCAAACAGAUUAAAUUCGAGAACCAAGGUACCACUGUAACUUAAACAGGACAAUUCUGUGAAGAUUAGUUAAUGCUGGUCAGCUCCACUAAAGGUUUUGAAAACUGGUGGUGAUGGCGGUUGACUCUCUCUCUCUCUCUCUCUCUCUCUCUCUCUCUCUCUCUCUCUCUCGCUCCCCCUCCCUCUGCCAACUACCUUGCCCCAAAAGAGCAACUGGCCCAGGGUCACUCAGUGAACAUAAGGACUGAGUGGAGAUUUAAACCAUGGUCUCCAAGAUCCUAGUCUGUUCUGCAAAAAAUUGCUGCUGGUGUAGAGGCUACUCAGCACUUGGUUUUGGAACAGGCUGUUUAUCAGACAUGCGGUGAUGUUUCAAAAGGUUGCCACACACCCCACUUGUUUGUUCCUCCCAAUUUGUUUCUGGAGACGCAAGUGUAGUCACCAGAAAGCCUUGGGAACUCUGAAGUUCCAGAGAAGGCUCUUCUGGAACUUCAAUCCAGAUUUCAUUUUUCUGUAUGUACAAAUACUGAAGACAUAUCAAGAGAAGAGUGAGAGAGACAUCCUAAAAUAGCCACUAAAAGCACAUUAAAUGAUAGCUAGCUUGCGAUAAGUCAUCUCACGCAGGCACCCCCAAUUAAUGACCUGGUAGCAGGAGAUAGAAUGACCAGCUCUUGCCACAUUCCAUAUGCAGCGCUUGCAGAAUUCAUUUGGAAGCUGUUGCAUCACGAGAUCUAUUUAUCAGGGUAAUUUGAUGCUGGGUUUUAGAAAGAGAGAGAGAGGGAGAGGAAGCCAGUUGCCUGAACAGGUGUGUUGGAUAAAACAGUCCCUGCAUAAACAUGGGCGUGACCUGCUCAAUAAAGCUGCUAACUGGAUUACAGUGGCACAGAAUACACUGCUU